AGGAACAAAUCAAGCAUGCUGAAAAGCAGCUAAAUUACCAAUGUGGUCGUUCUUUCUUGAGAUUUACAAUGAACAAAUCACAGAUUUGUUGGAUCCAAGCCAAAGAAAUCUUCAGAUAAGAGAAGAUGUCAAGUCUGGUGUUUAUGUUGAAAAUUUGACGGAGGAGUAUGUAUGCACAAUGAAGGAUGUCACACAAGUACUGAUAAAGGUUUGCUUCGUUUUUUCUUCUUGGACUACAUAGUGAGGAUGCUUAAGG